rnacentral:rRNA from 1 species
GGGCAAUAUUUGGGCGUAAAGAGCUCGUAGGUGGUUUGUCACGUCGUCUGUGAAAUUCCGGGGCUUAACUCCGGGCGUGCAGGCGAUACGGGCAUAACUUGAGUACUGUAGGGGAGACUGGAAUUCCCGGUGUAGCAGUGAAAUGCGUAGAUAUCAGGAAGAACACCGAUGGCGAAGGCAGGUCUCUGGGCCAUUACUGACACUGAGGAGCGAAAGCAUGGGUAGCGAACAGGAUUAAAUACCCUGGUAGUCCAUGCCGUAAACGUUGGGCACUAGAUGUGGGGGACAUUCCACGUUUUCCGCGUCGUAGCUAACGCAUUAAGUGCCCCGCCUGGGGAGUACGGCCGCAAGGCUAAAACUCAAAGGAAUUGACGGGGGCCCGCACAAGCGGCGGAGCAUGCUGAUUAAUUCGAUGCAACGCGAAGAACCUUACCAAGGCUUGACAUGCACCGGACGAUCCCAGAGAUGGGGUUUUCUUCGGACUGGUGCACAGGUGGUGCAUGGUUGUCGUCAGCUCGUGUCGUGAGAUGUUGGGUUAAGUCCCGCAACGAGCGCAACCCUUGUUCUAUGUUGCCAGCACGUGAUGGUGGGGACUCAUAGGAGACUGCCGGGGUCAACUCGGAGGAAGGUGGGGACGACGUCAAAUCAUCAUGCCCCUUAUGUCUUGGGCUUCAAGCAUGCUACAAUGGUCGGUACAAUGGGUUGCGAAACUGUGAGGUGGAGCGAAUCCCAAAAAGCCGGCCUCAGUUCGGAUUGGGGUCUGCAACUCGACCCCAUGAAGUCGGAGUCGCUAGUAAUCGCAGAUCAGCAACGCUGCGGUGAAUACGUUCCCGGGUC